rnacentral:tRNA from 1 species
UGGGGCGUCGACAAGUGGUAAGUCACCAGAUUUUGAUUCUGGCAUCCCUAGGUUCGAAUCCUAGCGCCCCAGCCA